CACACACACACACACCUACCUUCAUCUGGAGUGCUUCAUUAACUCUCGAUUUUUGUGGAUCGUAUGAUCCACAAAACACAUACAGUGGCCAUGCCAGCCUUGUUUCAGCUGAAGACCUGGUCAGCUGAGGUUUUAGUGCACUCACUGUUACCUGUCUCCUUCACCUCACAUUGCAACUACAAUGCUGUGCAGACUAGAACAUGGACACUCUCUGUAAUUUACAGUUUUUCUCGAUUGCUAAGACACAUUCCUGGAAAGCUGCUCUCCUUUUCCCUAAACUGUGAACACAAAACCCAAUUUUCAAGCUACAUUCACAAAACCUCUGACUCUUCUUGCAAAACCAAACUUUCACCCCAAAACAGUUCAAUCUGUGCUCAAAGCUGAACUAUACUGUCAAAACAUGCCUCAUGUCAAUCGAAAUUAAAUACUCUACGGAGCAGUCACUAAACACUACAUAGAAAAAGGAAAACACAAUGCUCAGGACAUGAAGCGGUAGAAAUAAAUGUUUAUUUAGGCUAAAUGCAUGUUGCAAAACAAAAUACCUGGGCAUUUGUAACACUUACGUAGAAAAAAGAAUUUGCAAAAAAAACUGAAAUCCAGUGCAUUUACAUGUAGCACUUGUAUUUAAAAAUAAAGCACAAAAAUUUACAAAUGUAGUGCAAAGAAAAGAAGUGCAUUACUCUGCCACAGCAUCAUUUCUCUGUACUGGCUCAGGCCACAGGACUUCAUCUACAUCACAGGACACAUUUUCUCUGGCCAGGCAAAAGGGGAAAAAAACCCAUGCUCCUCUUCUUAGAUUUCUGUCCAUUGUAGUGCCUCACACACCAGUGCUCUGGCUUAUAUGUACCCUCACAUCAUUAGCCACAAGUGUGAUCAAUUUUGAGUUGUUAUUUGUCUUAGCAUGUUAAUUUUUUCAGUUGCUGCAACAAAGUUUUAAAAAUGAGGAAUUACGUUUAAAACAAUCUAGAACAAGCAUACGAAAGUUGUCUUUGUAACAUCGAUCCGGUAAAUCAAGUGCGUGAGAAGUGUGAUUCUGUCAUUUGGAAAGCUUUUGUUUGUUUGUUUUUUGUCUGAAGCAAAGCAGUCAGAGAGGGAAUCAUUGUCUAGAUUGAAGCUACAAAUGUAUCUAAAUUAAUGUACUAUAUAUUAUCCUUGAGUUAUUUAAUACACUUUCUUAUGUUGCCUUA